rnacentral:lncRNA from 1 species
GUUGCUCUUCAGUGACAAGCUCGGCCUUCUACUAGUCCUUGGCCACCUCAUCCUCAUCCACAAAGGACAAGUCAAGGUGAGGGAGAUGACUAGUUAUCCUUUGUCGAAGCAAGUCAUCCCCUAGGAAAAAGGCUUUUUCGGAGAAAUCGAUCUUCUCCUAAGCAUACUCCGAAGAAGAUCAGAAUGCCUCGACCACCAGCCGACCAAUGUCAACAGUCUUCUCAUCGGCCACCUGGCAUUUCUUCCUCUUUUCUUAAAGCCCCGCCUCAGCCUUCUUCAGCAUCGCCUCAGUAUUUUUUUGUGCAGCCUCUGCACUCUUUUGCCCGACUUCGGUUGCCAACCGUGUUGUCUCGAUCGACACCUACAUAGUUUUAGCUCUCUCAUGCACUUCUUUGAAGUACUUCACCUCGACUUCUGCCUUGCUGACCUUUGAUCGGAGCAUCUUGGCCUCCUUGCAGGCUUUGGAGGUCUCCACCCUCACCGCCUUCGUC